GGAGCUCUGUGGUGGGAAGGUCUGGUGUGCACCUGCAGAAGUCACCAAAGGGGGAGGGGAGGGGGGAGAGGCCAAUGCUGGGAACCUGCAAACUGCAGGAUCCCCAUGGUUAUGAAAUCCUUGCUUUAACUGGAGCAUGGGGCCUCAGAAAUCAUCUCACAGAUGGGGAAACUGAGGCUCAGGUGAGUAGAAGGCACUGGCUAAAACUGCCCCCUACCCCAAGCUGCUCAUGCUCUGGGUUGGAAAACUAGUGUAGGCUGGUUUUGAUUUACACACAAUCUGCCUAUUUUCAUAGAACCUGGAACCGCACUCCCCAUUCCAACCAUGUGUAUGAUAGAGAAAGAGACAGAGCCCAGCGUCAAUGGAGAGGUGUUUGGGAGAGGACUGGAGACCUGUGAUGCCAUCCCUUCCCCAUCCCUAGAGAGCACCACCCUGGAGUCCACAUGAGGACACUGGCUCCUCCUAGCGGCCAUGAGGAGCACUGUUCCCCGUCCCAGGGUCUGACCCAGAGCCUCACAGUUACUGGUGCUCAACAAACUUCUACCUGGACUCAAGGCCACCCCCACGCAGCCGUCCUGAGACUUGAAGACCCCUUGCCCCAUGUGCACACUCCCAGGAUGGGGCUGUCUACACCCCUGAACCACUCAGUUUCAGCUCAUCAUCAAUUUCUCCGUUUUACAAAGAAGACUGGUCACACAGCAUGGCAAGUGCCAGGUCGCUCCAAGCUUCAGUGGAGAUGGAGAAGCGCUUCUAGAACCGCAACCAGCUUCUUGUUGGGGUCUCUACCUGGCCCCCAUCCCUCCAGGCCCCAGCUUCUUCCUCUACCUCCUUCCACACCCCUCCACCCCACCUGGGAGGGCAGAGGUGAUCGGAGCCCUCCACAAGGCUUCCUCAGCACUUCCCCCGGAGCCCAUCUGUUUCUUUUUCCAAAGAGUAUUUUAGAAGCGGAAGUUUCUUGCCUCCUCAACUAUCCUAGGGCUGGGGAGGUGAGGCAAUCUCAUGACUCUCCCUUGUCUUUUCAUGUGAAAGAUUGGUUGUGCGUGGCAUCCGAUUAGGGUGAAAUCUCACUCCCGGCCGUGACUGCCCUUCUGAGGGAACAAGAAGCAAAGGGGCCUCUGUGAGGAGGGCAGCCUGCCUGGGGAUGGGGAAUGGAUGUGGUCAUAACAGCAAGUAACAUUUGCACAGGCACAGAGGUGCUUUUUUGUGGACCAUGUGAACACAAGAGUUGUGUUCUCCUGCCUCCAUUUAGCAGAGGAGAAAACUGAGGCAAAUGCCUUGCUCAGGGUCACAGUGAUUGGCAAGAGUGACAAAGCUGGGACCCAGUCCGGGCCUUCUGAUUCUUAAGUUCAAUGCCUUUGCACUACAACAGAGGUGCCGCCUUUACAUGAUCCGUGACCUUUCAGAGACUACUUUGGUUAUGACCUCGGGCUUGGCAAUGCAGAGAGAAUGGAUAGAAGGGACUGCUUCAGACACAAGGUCCCUCCUCUCUCCUGCUCUUCCUUUCCUUCCAACAUAUGCACUCUAUGUGUUGGGCAUUAGACCCUGAGGUCCAGGAAAGUCUGAAAGGCAAGAACCAUGCAUUUGUCACAUUCUCCAAACACUGUCCCAGCACCGGGCCAGGCACAGAGCCCCUGGGCAGUAGCUGUGCUGGAAGAAGGGAGGAGCCAGCCCACAGUGACUGCCACUGCCAAGGAGGACCCUGGCGCCUUGGCCACAAGUUUGAGAUCCUAGGAUACUCAGAAGAGUGUCUUCCCCCAAUCUGUGUGUAUAGGCGCAGGGGAAGAUAGGACAGAGGAGUAGUGUUACCAAAGUCUCUUGAGAACCAGAGCCAUAAGGAGGAAUGGACCUAUAGAGGCUGCAGUUGGGCCACUGCCAGAAACACGGUCCAAAGCAAGAAGCAAUGAAGGAACAAUGAAGAAAUACUCCAAUUUCCCUCCCACUCCAUCUUCUGCCAGUGUUUCCCAUUGGCCUCCCCCACCUAGAAGUAGCUGGUAAACGAGUUGGGUCAACUCAGGCCAAAUAGAUGGGCCUCCCUUCACCCUGCCUAUAGGACAGGACAGAGAAUGGAUCUGGGAAUUUGGGGUUAAAUCAAGAUGGACAAGUUUCCUUGUGCCUUAUUUCCCUCUUCACCUCCAUCCAACCAGAAGUUACCUCAUGUCACCAGGACUGUCAUCCUUCCUGCUGCCUUAUAUACCUCCAUUGCUACCCACUUCCCCCCAAACCUCAUCCCUUUUAGCCCUCUCAGCUUCCCCAUGGGGCCCUCUGUGUUCUGGUCUAUGACUGGCAACCCCGCUUCUAUCUCUGCCUCUGCCCAGAACACCCAUCCCUCCUGGCAGCCUCCAGAAGCCUUUUCAAUGGAAGAAUUUCUUCUCUCAAACUGAAUAUCUUACACCUUCCUGGGGGCUUAGAAGGAAAAGAAAAGUACUCCUUGAUUCUCAUUGCUUUCUCUUCCUCUGUCCCUUCAUUAAAAAUCCCAGAUCCUGGGGCACUUGGGUGGCUCAGUGGUUGAGUGUCUGCCUUUGGCUCAGGUCAUGAUCCUGGGAUCCUGGGAUCAAGUCCCUCAUCGAGCUCCCCAUGGGGAGUCUGCUUCUCCCUCUGCCUUUGUCUCUGCUUCUCUGUGUGUGUCUCUCAUAAAUAAAUAAAAUCCUUGAAAAAAAUCCCA
rnacentral:lncRNA from 1 species